rnacentral:rRNA from 1 species
GUGUCAGCCGCCGCGGUAAUACAGAGGUGGCAAGCGUUGUUCGGAAUUACUGGGCGUAAAGGGCGCGUAGGCGGCCUUCUAAGUCGGACGUGAAAGCCCCAGGCUUAACCUGGGAACUGCGUCCGAUACUGGGAGGCUUGGAUUCGGGAGAGGGAUGUGGAAUUCCAGGUGUAGCGGUGAAAUGCGUAGAUAUCUGGAGGAACACCGGUGGCGAAGGCGGCAUCCUGGACCGAGAUCGACGCUGAGGCGCGAAAGCUAGGGGAGCAAACGGGAUUAGAAACCCUCGUAGUCC